rnacentral:rRNA from 1 species
AUAAGAGGUACCAUUUAUGAAUUUUAUUAUUAAACUUUUUUUUCCUCUUCUACAAAGAUUAAAGAAUUAUAAUAAUUGAUAGAUAAAUGGUGGCACAUAAUCGGAGGCCCCGACUGUUUACUAAAAACACAGCACAGUGCAAUCAUUAAUGUGGUAGUAUACUGUGUGAAAUUUGCCCAAUGCCAUUAAUAUAAAAGCGGUCAUAGGAAACUGUGACUAAUUGAAAAUCUGGUUAAUAGCGGUCUUAACUAUGAGGAUCCUAAGGUAGCAAAAUAAAUUGGCCAUUAAAUGUGGUCCGGUAUCAAUAAUGUAACGAUGGCCUCACUGUCUCUACAACUUGCUCAGUGAAAUUGAAUUACGCGUGCAGAUGCGCGUUACCUCCAGUGGGACGGGAAGACCCUAU